AUGGGUGAUGGGUGAUGGUGCCGCCGCUCGGUGUGUCACCGGGAGGGCUCUCCGGCACAGCGGGGGCUAGAGGGGACCUAACGCAUCAAGGCGUCCGCCUGCUUAUUUCUGUCAUUAACUGCCGUUGCAUAAUCCGUCAAAUCUGUUCUGCUCCUGGGUGAGCAUCGCUGCCAAUCCUGUCGCCACCGCUCAGCCCAGUAAUUGCAAUACAGCCCUCAAGCAAGCCAGACAUAACUCUCAGCUGCGACAUUAGAGGACAAGGAAUCCUUCACUUUACUCCUAGCGCUGCUUAGAGAGGAAAUUGAGGUUUUCUCUUUUUUUACGUGAGAUUUUCUGACUGUGAAUUGGGCACCUAUACAAGUUCAUACUCUGCAUAUUGAGACGUGUCUGCAGACAUGAGAAUGGAAAAAACUCUGGCUGAAAGAAUGGGAUUGAUCCUGAUUUCUAAACAUCAUGAUUUUGUGAAGUACUAAACAUAUCCAACUUUCUGGGAGACUGCAAAGCAGUUGAUUCUGAGUGGAUAAAUGGUCCAAACAUCUAUCAAGAAUUUCCUCAGAUUUUUCUUAAGUAGACUCACUCAUUGUCAGAAACUCUUCAGUGUCAAAACCUUGAAUUUAAGACGAAAAUUCUUCUCUGCAUUCUACAGUUACUUGAGAUACUUGUAUGCAGAGGCAAGAAGACUUUGUUUGCAUUGACUUGUAUUUGGAACACUACUUUCAAAAUAUUGUCCUUAUCCUAUGAAAGACAAAGUUCUGCGAAAAUAGUGGUCUGUCCUCUCCCUUCCUUGGAAAGCUUUCUCUUCCUCAAUGGAAACUAACAAAGUGUAUUAUAUCAUACUCCCUGUGCUCUCUGAUGCUGGAAAAUCCUAGAAUAUGUUCAUCUGUAUUAUUUUACAUUCUUUUAAAUAUUCUUCUAGAGCCUCUUUGAUGUUUUUCUUAAAACCUUCUUACUUUAUUUUAAAUUGUUCCAAAAAAAGAUGUCAUGGAAGUUAUACGUCCUGAUGUGACUUCAAAUUACUGUUCCUAAUAUUUGAA